CUCUUAUCGAGAGCGGCGGAGGGACUGGCCCAAUGAAGCCCGGCAACCCCCAGAUGACUAUCGUCUGGUUGGUGCUAAUUCCUGAAAGACCAUGUCUUUCAAGAUGAGAG
rnacentral:ncRNA from 1 species